rnacentral:rRNA from 1 species
UGGGGAAUUUUGGACAAUGGGCGAAAGCCUGAUCCAGCAAUGCCGCGUGUGUGAAGAAGGCCUUCGGGUUGUAAAGCACUUUUGUCCGGAAAGAAAUCCUUGGCUCUAAUACAGUCGGGGGAUGACGGUACCGGAAGAAUAAGCACCGGCUAACUACGUGCCAGCAGCCGCGGUAAUACGUAGGGUGCAAGCGUUAAUCGGAAUUACUGGGCGUAAAGCGUGCGCAGGCGGUUUGCUAAGACCGAUGUGAAAUCCCCGGGCUCAACCUGGGAACUGCAUUGGUGACUGGCAGGCUAGAGUAUGGCAGAGGGGGGUAGAAUUCCACGUGUAGCAGUGAAAUGCGUAGAGAUGUGGAGGAAUACCGAUGGCGAAGGCAGCCCCCUGGGCCAAUACUGACGCUCAUGCACGAAAGCGUGGGGAGCAAACAGGAUUAGAUACCCUGGUAGUCCACGCCCUAAACGAUGUCAACUAGUUGUUGGGGAUUCAUUUCCUUAGUAACGUAGCUAACGCGUGAAGUUGACCGCCUGGGGAGUACGGUCGCAAGAUUAAAACUCAAUGAAUUGACGGGGUCAUAGCUGUUUCCU